rnacentral:sRNA from 1 species
AGGGUGCGGGACAGCCCCUUGCAGAAGACGCCGUACGAGUUUCUCCAGCAUUUGGCUCAAGGUGCCAAGGGCACAUGUGACAAGAAGGUGCAGCUUUUUAAACCUUGGAACUUCUUCUGUGUCAGUUCAGAGACAUACAAUUUACUAAAACACAUCAUGAAGGCCUGUUUUGAAGAGAAGGGGAGUAAGACUACAUCUAUUCAUAUGAGGUAUGUCGAAGUACUUGGACGUGUUUUCAAACCACCAAUCUUGAUGAUUUAGAAAUGUGCUCCCUUUUCCAAUUUCAUCCUGAUAAAAAUGUGUGAUCUCUAGACGUUGCCAAUAUUCCCCUCCAUUCCAUCAUGAGCCGUUCUCUAUAAUUCAGAGUCUGUGGACUAAGCUGU